CCCAUCAGCAGCACAAUCAGCAUUAAGAAGAAUACUGCCUUAUCCUUGCAAAAAGCAGUACACUGCAGUGAUUCUGAUGCCCCGGAAGUCUUGGUUCAAGUUGCUGAGAUCUUUCUUCCAGUCUUCUCCGACCAAUUAUGUUAGAAAUGCAAAGAUUUUAGCAGGCAUUGCUGGAUUGGCGAUUUUAGGACUGAGUUUUUGGAGAAGUUCACGCAGUGGCAUAAAAUCUUAAGAUGGAGGUUCCUACAUUUUGUCGAGUGAUUAGAGAUGAAAAAAGAAUUUGACCCAAUGAGAGUAUUAUGAAGGGGGAUUAAGCACCGGUCACUCUACAUCCAAUUUUUAAGAUGUUCAUAAAUUCUCAAUCUCUCCAUGUGUCAGCUUUUAUUUUUGCUCUUUACUGAACAUAAUCUGAGAACUAGGGGAUAGAUGGUUUUAAAUUAUAUACAUAUAUGUAUGUAUAUACACACAAAUACAUGCCUAUUACCUUGUUUAGAUUGAUAAUUAUUAUUAUUUUCUUUUUAAUCACGGGGAGGCUCAAAGUAAUACUAUUCAUGUUCGUGGCUUCAA